rnacentral:rRNA from 1 species
UACAGAGGGGGCAAGCGUUAUUCGGAAUUAUUGGGCGUAAAGGGCGCGUAGGCGGCCUGGCAAGUGGAAGGUGAAAUCCCUCGGCUUAACCGAGGAACUGCCCUCCAAACUGCUUGGCUUGAGUCCGGGAGAGGUGAGUGGAAUUCCCAGUGUAGCGGUGAAAUGCGUAGAUAUUGGGAGGAACACCAGUGGCGAAGGCGGCUCACUGGACCGGAACUGACGCUGAGGCGCGAAAGCGUGGGGAGCAAAAGGG